rnacentral:rRNA from 1 species
AACAGGAUUAGAUACCCUGGUAGUCCACACCGUAAACGAUGGAUACUAGGAGUUGGCAAAAAUAUUGUCGGUUCCGCAGUUAACGCAUUAAGUAUCCCACCUGGGGAGUACGACCGCAAGGUUAAAACUCAAAGGAAUUGACGGGGGCCCGCACAAGCAGUGGAGUAUGUGGUUUAAUUCGAAGCAACGCGAAGAACCUUACCAGGGCUUGACAUAUACAGGAAUAUAUAAGAGAUUAUAUAGCUCUACGGAGUCUGUAUACAGGUGGUGCAUGGUUGUCGUCAGCUCGUGUCGUGAGAUGUUGGGUUAAGUCCCGUAACGAGCGCAACCCCUAUGGCUAGUUGCUAACAUUAAGUUGAGGACUCUAGCAAGACUGCCGUUGUUAAAACGGAGGAAGGUGGGGACGACGUCAAAUCAUCAUGCCCUUUAUGUCCUGGGCUACACACGUACUACAAUGGGUAAGACAGAGGGAAGCGAAAGUGCGAACUGGAGCAAAACCCUAAACUUAUUCUCAGUUCGGAUUGGAGUCUGAAAUUCGGCUCCAUGAAGCUGGAAUUGCUAGUAAUGGCAGGUCAGCAUACUGCCGUGAAUACGUUCCCGGGCCUUGUACACACCGCCCGUCACACCAUGAGAGUUGGGAAUACCCGAAGCCUGUGAGCUAACUUUUAAAGAGGCAGCAGUCGAAGGUAGAAUCAAUGAUUGGGGUGAAGUCGUAACAAGGUAGCCGUAUCGGAAGGUGCGGCUG